rnacentral:rRNA from 1 species
GAACGGACUCAUAUUGAAACCUAGUGAUUUAUGAGUUAGUGGCGGACCGGUGAGUAACGCGUGGAUAACCUGCCGUAUACCGGGGGAUAACACUUAGAAAUAGGUGCUAAUACCGCAUAAGCGCACGGCUCCGCAUGGGGCAGUGUGAAAAACUCCGGUGGUAUACGAUGGAUCCGCGUCUGAUUAGCUAGUUGGCGGGGUAACGGCCCACCAAGGCAGCGAUCAGUAGCCGGCCUGAGAGGGUGGACGGCCACAUUGGGACUGAGACACGGCCCAAACUCCUACGGGAGGCAGCAGUGGGGAAUAUUGCACAAUGGGGGAAACCCUGAUGCAGCGACGCCGCGUGAGUGAAGAAGUAUCUCGGUAUGUAAAGCUCUAUCAGCAGGAAAGAUAAUGACGGUACCUGACUAAGAAGCCCCGGCUAACUACGUGCCAGCAGCCGCGGUAAUACGUAGGGGGCAAGCGUUAUCCGGAUUUACUGGGUGUAAAGGGAGCGUAGACGGCAGCGCAAGUCUGGAGUGAAAUGCCGGGGCCCAACCCCGGAACUGCUUUGGAAACUGUGCGGCUCGAGUGCGGGAGAGGUAGGCGGAAUUCCUAGUGUAGCGGUGAAAUGCGUAGAUAUUAGGAGGAACACCAGUGGCGAAGGCGGCUUACUGGACCG